rnacentral:rRNA from 1 species
UGGGGAAUAUUGGACAAUGGGCGAAAGCCUGAUCCAGCCAUGCCGCGUGUGUGAAGAAGGUCUUCGGAUUGUAAAGCACUUUAAGUUGGGAGGAAGGGCAGUUACCUAAUACGUGAUUGUUUUGACGUUACCGACAGAAUAAGCACCGGCUAACUCUGUGCCAGCAGCCGCGGUAAUACAGAGGGUGCAAGCGUUAAUCGGAAUUACUGGGCGUAAAGCGCGCGUAGGUGGUUAGUUAAGUUGGAUGUGAAAUCCCCGGGCUCAACCUGGGAACUGCAUUCAAAACUGACUGACUAGAGUAUGGUAGAGGGUGGUGGAAUUUCCUGUGUAGCGGUGAAAUGCGUAGAUAUAGGAAGGAACACCAGUGGCGAAGGCGACCACCUGGACUGAUACUGACACUGAGGUGCGAAAGCGUGGGGAGCAAACAGGAUUAGAUACCCAUGUAGUCCCUGAGCGGGCUGGCAAGGCGCAU